AAGGAUCAUUAGUGAUUGUGAAUCGUUGCCUUCAGUGCUGGCUGGCUCCAGCAAGUGCACGUUGGUGACUUUCAUCCAAAUACCCUUGUGAACCUUUGGCCUCUUGCUGGCUUCGGCUGACAGAGGAUUUUACACCCCAACUCGAAUGUAAUGAAAACUACUGUCGUGCGCAAGCACUAAUGUACAACUUUCAACAACGGAUCUCUUGGCUCUCG
rnacentral:misc_RNA from 1 species